AGAGCGAACGCUGGCGGCAGGCUUAACACAUGCAAGUCGAGCGGAUGUAGCAAUACAUCAGCGGCAGACGGGAUAGUAACACGUGGGAACGCGCCCUUUGGUUCGGAAUAACUCAGGGAAACUUGAGCUAAUACCGGAUAAGCCCUUACGGGGAAAGAUUUAUCGCCAAAGGAACGGCCCGCGUCCGAUUAGCUAGUUGGUGAGGUAAUGGCUCACCAAGGCGACGAUCGGUAGCUGGUCUGAGAGGAUGACCAGCAUCACUGGGACUGAGACACGGCCCAGACUCCUACGGGAGGCAGCAGUGGGGAAUAUUGGACAAUGGGCGCAAGCCUGAUCCAGCCAUGCCGCGUGGAUGAUGAAGGCCCUAGGGUUGUAAAGUCCUUUUAACGGGGAAGAUAAUGACGGUACCCGUAGAAUAAGCCCGGCUAACUUCGCGCCAGCAGCCGC
rnacentral:rRNA from 1 species